GAGGCACACGAUCGAGCAAAUACUGUAAAUUAAUUCUAUGGAAUAACAACACGCGAGAAGGCAAUGAACCUGUUUUUCUCUUCGUUGUUCCACUCGUAAAAAUAUUGAGAAUAAUAAUUUUAUUACUGAAAUGGCGUAGAGAAGAAAAGAAAAUGGAUAAAGACAAAAAUAACAGAAAUGAGACCAAGUCUCAAAUGCAGCCUUAGCAUCAUCGAUAUGCUUGCUUAUCCUUAUACUGUACGAUACAGGGUAACACCACUCUUGUACGAUUAAGAUCAAACACAUCUGUCUAGACAGUUGGGAGCUGGCGGCCGAGAGGUGCGAAAUGAGUUUCAUUUCUCGCAUGGUAUUUAAGCAAACAAGCCAAUAAGAAUGCAGGCGUACUUGCAUAAUAUAUCUUAAUACGGGAAUUUCAUAUAUAUCCUAAUCGCUUUGCAAUAUUAGUAAUUAAAGAAAAUAAUACUACCAGGAUAGAACAAAAUAAUCCAGAUUAUUUCAUAUAAUAUACUUGGAAGUAAUAAUUUUUUAUCUAAUCUCAGGGGGAUGAAGAGGGGGAGAAAAUAAAAAAAAAAAAAACACAAUUAUAACAAGAUAGAAUAAGCCGUUCAACGCCGUGUCGUUGAUGUAAGAGAGUUUGAAAAGAAAAAAUAUAACGAGGGUUCAUGAAUUGUGUGCGUAGCUGUGCAACGAAAUAGCUAGAACAAUGUUUACCUUGAACACCUGCUUGCUGAAGAAGAGCGACAGCUUCGGCGUACGAAGGAGGCGGCAGCUCACUUGGUCCUUGACCCUGGGUGAUGACCUCGUACGGGGGCGGGCCAGGGGUUCCUGUGCCGGACCCAUUCACCGCCUGAGCGCCGGCCAGUUCCUGUAAAUGCUGAAGCUGACCAAUUUAUAAUUUACACGGAAUUUAUCGCAUAAUGCGGACAAUAAUGCAGGGAAGAGAAAAAAAAACAUGCAAGAGGAAAACUAUGUUUCUGACUAAUUAGUUUCAUUAACUUACAA